ACACUGACGUCGCGACGCAUAUCAAUAAGCGGAGGAAAAGAAACUAACAAGGAUUCCCUUAGUAACGGCGAGUGAAGCGGGAAGAGCUCAAAUUUGAAAUCUUCAAGGUUCUACCUUGACGAAUUGUAGUUUAUAGAAGUGUUUUCUGUUAGUAGAGUGGCAAAAGUUCUUUGGAAUAGGACAUCAUAGAGGGUGAGAAUCCCGUAUUUGGUCAUUCUUUCUAGCUUUGUGAUACACUUUCAACGAGUCGGAUUGUUUGGGAAUGCAGUCCAAAUGGGUGGUAAAUUUCAUCUAAAGCUAAAUAUUGGCGAGAGACCGAUAGCGAACAAGUACCGUGAGGGAAAGAUGAAAAGAACUUUGAAAAGAGAGUUAAACAGUACGUGAAAUUGUCAAAAGGGAAGCGUUUGACACCAGUGUUGUUUUUCCGAAAAUCAAUUACGAAUGUUUUGUUUUUGAGAAGUUAUGACUUCAUCGGCUUGCUUCUCUCUUUACGAAACUUUCUUAAUGCACUUUUCGGUUAACAAGUCAACAUCAAUUUCUUUUGUUGUAAAAGGGUAUGAGGAAGGUGGCUUUCUUUUCGGAGAAAGUGUUUAUAGCCUUGUACCUCUGCAAUCGGAGAGAUUGAGGUCUGCAGCCUAGAUCCUUCGGGGUUAGAUACAUUUGUGCUAAGUUAUAGCUUUUCAUAGACAACUUGCUGACUAUGCUCAGUCAUGUAGCUUACUCGCUUAUGCUAUUUUACCUACGCUUAGGAUGUUGAUGUGAUACUGCGAGCA
rnacentral:rRNA from 1 species